rnacentral:rRNA from 1 species
AAGACCAAGCUCGAGCUGGUUGACCCUUUCAUUGCUGCAUUUCUAGGGGGGUAUAGACUGAAGAGCUUUGCUCAACGCCCAGCCCUGGGCACCCGUGGGGGCAUCCUGCUUCUCUGGGAUGAGAAUUUUGUCUCUGUCCAUGAUGUUAGCAUCGGAGCCUUUUUCCUUUCGGCCACGGUCACCAUCACCUCUUCGAGCACAUCCUUCAAGCUAACAACCGUUUAUGGCCCGACACGAAGCAAUCUUAAAGAUGGCUUCUUUCAAGAAUUAGUUAGUGAGAAGCCCUCCCAUGGUGAUAAGUGGUUGGUCAAUGGUGAUUUCAACCAAAUAUACCGAGCUAGAGACAAGAACCGUGCGAAUGUUGAUUGGAGCCGCAUCGUUCAUAUUCGCAACGCCCUCAAUGCGUGUGAGUUAAAAGAGAUACACCUUCAAAACCGGAAAUUUACUUGGAGUAACGAGCGAAGUGACCCAACUUUGAGCAAGCUUGAUUCCUUCUUUUGCAAUGAAGAUUGGGACCUUCAGUUCGGCACUCACCUCCUGCACGCUCUUACCUCAUCGCUCUCUGAUCAUUGUCCUCUCCUCCUUGCUAAUGAUAAAGGGCCUCCGAGGACCAAGUCGCUCCGCUUUGAAAACUUUUGGAUCAAAAUGCCUAGAUUCAAGGAGGUUGUCCAAGGUGCUUGGAACCAGGAGGUGAACCAUAUUGAUCCCUAUCACAUCCUCUUCCAGAAGAUGAAAAAGACAAGUCAUGUUCUUAGAAAGUGGAGCAAGACGAUUUUUGCGCAUUCAAAGGUGCAAAUUCACAUGGCCCUCGAGAUCAUCCUUCGCUUGGAUGUGGCCCAAGAAACCCGACUUUUAAGUGCUGAUGAGCGGGACAUUCGUAGGAGACUCAAAUGCAAGGUGCUUAGUUUAUCCGUGCUUGAACGAGCGCGAAAAAGGCAAUGUUCAAGAAUCACCAACCUCAAAGAUGGAGAUGCCAACACUCGCUUCUUUCACCUUCGGGUCAAUCAUAGAAGGCGAAAGAAUUUCAUCCAUCGUCUUAAGCACAAUAACGGUUGGGUCACCGACCAUGAGCACAAGAAGUCCAUCAUUCAAAACCACUUCAGGGAGGUCACCAAGAGGGGUGUGCCCCGUACCAUUGACAUCAAUUGGGGUAAUAUCCCGGCCCCCGCUUGUGAUCUCUCAGACCUGGGGGCUGCCUUCUCGGAGGAGGAGGUCAAGAAGGCAAUCUUCUGA